GGCCUUGUGGUUUAGUGGUAUGAUUCUCGCUUAGGGUGCGAGAGGUCCCAGAUUCGAUCUCCGGCAAGGCCC
rnacentral:tRNA from 1 species